UACCAUCUCUUCAGGGGAGGGCAUACUUUUGCACACGCAUCGCGUUGUCUUGUGCAGCCCCAUCCCCAAUCUUUACAGUGUCACUUCUGCACCAGCAGCGCUGCGGAUCGCUCUUAAGCGAGUCCUCUGUCCCCCACCGUGAUUUGCAGAGGUUGUGCAUUUGUGAGAGGGCUAGUGUUUUUCACACCUGGCCACACCCAUUUAAUCUAUCUCACACCUCUGGGCUAUCGCUCUUCAUAACAGCGUGCCCUUGUUGUUUCUAUCGUCUCUGCAGCGUUGUGCGCUAGCCAGGAUUCGGUGGUUAACGAUGCUGCGCAGUAAUGUAGGUGUAUGUAGUCGUGUAGGGGUGGCACGGUUGUGGUUUCGAGUGUGUCAGCCGCUUCCAUCUGUCUCCGUAGCCUCGGCGCGCACCUUUGGCACCUCCGCAUCCCCUCUCUUAGCAGGCUGUCGCCUUAGCGCGUUGCGCCUUGAUAGCAAGAGCAUCGGUUCCACACUGCCGGCGAACGGCGACCGCGUCUCUAACGACAAUGGUGAGAAGGACGACGGCGGCGGUCCCGCUACGGAUGGGACAGGCAUGAGCAAGCCGGCAAGUGCAGAAGACGGCGCAGAAAUGGCUGUGGUACAGAAGGACUACGGAGAAGAGAACGGCGAUGAGGGGUUUCAUGAAGACGCGAUCAUCGUGAAGGAUGAGAAAGGCAACCCUAUCACCCGCAUUCGACGCCUGCCACUCACGCUUAUCGAAGAGGUCCCGCUGCCGCAGCGCAUUCUGACGGACCUGGAGUUGGUCAUGAUGGCCUGGUGCGAGGAGCACGCCCGGCAAUAUGCGCUCUUCAUGACGGCUAUUCGCAUCGGUGUGUUCGUUCUUCUCUUGAUCAUCCUGUACGUGUUUUACCAGACCACCCUGUCGAGCGAGCGAGUGGUGCGCGGUGUGGAUAAGAUGCCGGCCGACCUGCGCAUCGGCAGCGUCGUCUACUUCGACGUAACCGAGAACGGCACCGACAUCGGGCGCAUUGUCAUUGGUCUGCUCAACGAGGACUGCCCGCUCUACUGUGAGUACUUUCAUCGUCGUUGCACCGGCAACGGAGGCAAGGGUAACUCCUUCCGCGGGAUGCCCCUAGCGGCGAUCGUGCCCCGACACUGCUUGAUCUUCGGCGACGGACAGGAAAUGGAGCACGAUGUCCCCGGGUUCAACUCGCACUACCUGCCGACAGAACACCUGAGCAACGGUGCUUGGCGCGGCGCGCUGUCCUCCAUCGCGUACGGACCCAACCGCGAGAGCCCGAACUUCGCCAUUCACAUCUCAUCGGGCGACUACAAGCCGCAGGUGUUCGCCAUUGUGAUUGGUGGGUACAACGUGAUUGAGCGGAUGAACAAUGCAGGCUCGAAGCACGGCAAUGCGCCGAAACGGAACUACGUCAUUGAGGGCUGCGGAGAGCUGUGCACGCUCGCCAAGUCGCACAUCGCGCCAAUACCGUGGAAACUGUACGAGUCCGUGUCUGUCGGGUACGAUGAUGAAAAGUUCGGCCCGCGCUUGUCAGCGGACGUGCUCAAGCACUCCGAUGAGAUCGGUGCCACGGCGGUCGCGACGCAGCAAGAGGGUGGGUCGGCGCAGGUGCGGAAGAGAAAAUGGUGGUUUUUCUAAGACCACACGCACGGGGGGCGCGAAAGGCACAAAGUGCCCCGAGAGGAGGAGGAGGACGGCAGGGAACGAGACUCUUCGACCACUGAUAAAGACGAAGAAAAGCGCGUGUGGGGGAAGGGGCGCACGAUUUAUCAUGCAAUAUGUGCUUUAGUGACUCCCUCGUAUGUGUACACGUGCUUGGCGAAGCGGACACGCUGUCCGGGAGAGAAGAGGUGAACAGGGUGUGGGUUGCAGCGACGGGGGGCUGCGUGGUGCGUCUCGCACCUCUGUUCCUUUGCCUCAUGUGGUUAUGGUUUUGCUGCACCUUCCCUGCCACACUUUUCACGCCUAUUGUCCUUUGCAGUUCCUCUAACGCAUCUUCUCUCUCUUGAAGGGCUUGAGAGUGGGAUGCGGAGACGGCGACGGCCGUGCGUUGAUGGACCUCCCAACAUCGCCCUCGCCGCCCCACUUCCCCCUUCUCCCUCCAUGCGAUCCUCCACUGGUGCGGCGCAUCUUUGGAUGCGCGCACAUUACUUACUUCUUGCGAUGAUUGCCGGUCUUUCGCUUCUUCGGUGUCGCCUUUAUGCGCGUGUGGUGGUGCUUCUCUCGCCGUUGUGUAUGUGCGCGUCGAUGGGUUCGUUGUGCGAACGCUGUGCACAUGUGGUGCUGGUGGGAAGAUCCGCUCUUUCCUUCCCCUUUGAUACAGUCGCCCUCACGACGAGAGGGGGGCACCUCACCGUUGCACCUCAGGGUCCAGUACAUCCACUAUGUGUGUGUGUGUGUGGAGGCCAAGCAGCACCCCCUAUCCCUGCCAAUGCCGAGCCACUUGCGGUGGUGACGCGGGGCCAGGCACCCGCGACGUGGUGGUGCCAGAGCGCUUCAUCGCUGCUCAUGCCGGCAGCCAUGUCGUGGACGGCGUUGCGUCGGAGCGGCCUGCGACAGCGAGCACGCGUGUGCCAUCCAUGUGGUGGGCAGCGUGUCAGCGCGACUCGAACGUGCCCCGCCCGGCCCUCGCACUGCCUACUGGUGGUGGGCAACCUGCGUGCCACCGCGAGGGAUGCACCAGGGAUGGCGACUGGCAUGGUGUGAGCCGCUGUGAGGCGACAUGCGAGGCGGCGGAUCGGUAGGUCUCGAGGCGGUGCUGAGCCGACGGAGUCGGUGCACUGCUGCACUGGCGCGUGUCUACGGCUGCUUUGCACCACGAGAUGGGUCUGUGACUGGCCGGGGGCAGCAGAGUGGCGUUGGGCUCCUGCUGCGCGGCAGAGAAUGGACACACACGUGUGGAAGCAAAAUAUCCUACUACCUGAAGGGGUAGGCAACGCAGUUCGAGAUUUAGUGUCUCCCGUGCGCCGCUGUUUUACCUUCGUCCAGUAGCUCCACGAUUGGUGUUGUUUUCUUUGUAUGGUGUGCCUACUUGUUCCUUCUUUUUCAUAUAACCCACAUGACUUGUCUUUUUUGUUGUUGGUUCUCGAGUAGCUCGCACACGGUCACCCACGGCAAUCCGAAAAUGAAGUCCCGUUUUCUUCCUCCCUUCUCUCUCUCCUUACAUACACACAUACAAAUGUGUGUACUUCGUUGUGUGCGCCGGGCAUGGUGGUGGUGUUUAUAAUGCUCUCCCGCUGCGCCGUCGUGGUGGCGGUGUGGUUCGUUUGUUUGUGUGUUGACCGCUCCCCGUGCACUCGUGUGCCGGCAAGUCCCUCACCGCCUUUGACGUUUUCGCUGCCGUUGUUGUUGGUUUUCUGAGAUCAAAGUACCGACUCGGGUACUCACAUACACUCUCACACAUGCACACAAAGAUAUCAUACUGAUCAUAAUAUCGCUACGCGGCU
rnacentral:misc_RNA from 1 species